UACGUAGGGCGCAAGCGUUGUCCGGAAUUAUUGGGCGUAAAGAGCUCGUAGGCGGUUUGUCGCGUCUGCUGUGAAAACCUCAGGCUCAACCUGGGGCUUGCAGUGGGUACGGGCAGACUAGAGUGCGGUAGGGGUGACUGGAAUUCCGUGGUGUAGCGGUGGAAUGCGCAGAUAUCAGGAGGAACACCAAUUGCGAAGGCAGCUCGCUGGGACGUUACUGACGCUGGAGACGGCGAA
rnacentral:rRNA from 1 species